AAGUACCAAUAGGCUAUGGCUACUCCAUUCAAUCUAUCAAUGUUGAUUCCUUCGUGUUGCUGAAGAAGUAAAAGCAUUGCAAAGAGAAACUAGAUUCAUGAGGUGAAGCUAUUCCAAAAUGAUCGCGCUGGCUUUCUCUGUCAAUUGCAUUACAGGCUUCAGAUGAAAAUAACAAGAAGAAAGAUGUGAUGUUAAAUAUGUUUUUGGCAGAUUGGAGAAAUAUGGGAGAUCUAGAUGUUACAAAGUAAAGGAUUAGGAAGUUGUAGAGGAUGCAUAUGAGUUUUGUAACCUUUAAUUUUGAAGAAGCAAAAAUGUUCAACAAGUAAAGGAGUUUCAGUUUAAGGGGGUGCAGAUUGAAUGUAUGUUGGCAAAUUGGUAGUUUGGAGAAAUCUGGGAAAUUUGGAUUUUGCAAAGGUUAAUUGUGUUACAUAUGUUUUUGCAGAAUUUGUUGAGUUGAAUAGAUACUGAAUCGAGCAGUAGAGUGUAGUACGUGUAGAGGAGUAAUGCAGAUUGAAUGUGUAUUGGCAAUUUGGCAAUUUGGAGAAAUAUAGGAAAUGUGGAUUUUACAAAGGUUGAUUGUGUUACAUUUGUUUUUGCAGAUGUGUUAUUAACUGUGUUUUUGGCAGAUUAAAGUAAUUUGGGAAUUUGCAAAUGUGCUGUUAAAUAUGUUUUUG